GCCUGGGUGGCUCAGUCGGUUGAGCGUCCGACUUCGGCUCAGGUCAUGAUCUCGCGGUUCGUGAGUUCAAGCCCCGCAUCAGGCU
rnacentral:tRNA from 1 species